UACGGAGGGUGCAAGCGUUAAUCGGAAUUACUGGGCGUAAAGCGCACGCAGGUGGCUGAGCAAGUCGGAUGUGAAAGCCCUGGGCUUAACCUGGGAAUUGCAUUCGAUACUAUUCAGCUAGAGUAUGGGAGAGGGUAGUGGAAUUCCCGGUGUAGCGGUGAAAUGCGUAGAUAUUGGGAAGAACACCGGUGGCGAAGGCGGCGAGCUGGUCCAUUACUGACGCUGAGGCGCGACAGCGUGGGGAGCAAACAGG
rnacentral:rRNA from 1 species